rnacentral:rRNA from 1 species
AUUGAACGCUGGCGGCAUGCUUUACACAUGCAAGUCGAACGGUAACAGGGUGCUUGCACCGCUGACGAGUGGCGAACGGGUGAGUAAUGCGUCGGAACGUGCCGAGUAGUGGGGGAUAACGCAGCGAAAGUUGUGCUAAUACCGCAUACGUACUGAGGUAGAAAGUGGGGGACCUUCGGGCCUCACGCUAUUCGAGCGGCCGACGUCUGAUUAGCUAGUAGGUGAGGUAAAGGCUCACCUAGGCGACGAUCAGUAGCGGGUCUGAGAGGAUGAUCAGCCACACUGGGACUGAGACACGGCCCAGACUCCUACGGGAGGCAGCAGUGGGGAAUUUUGGACAAUGGGCGAAAGCCUGAUCCAGCCAUGCCGCGUGUCUGAAGAAGGCCUUCGGGUUGUAAAGGACUUUUGUCGGGGAGGAAAUCCCCAGCGUUAAUACCGCUGGGGGAUGACAGUACCUGAAGAGUAAGCACCGGCUAACUACGUGCCAGCCGCCGCAGUAA